ACCUAUAGCUCAGUUGGUUAGAGCACCCGGCUCAUAACCGGUAGGUCGCUGGUUCGAGCCCAGCUGGGUCC
rnacentral:tRNA from 1 species